rnacentral:lncRNA from 1 species
CUCCACCCUGUCUGACUCCAAAGAUCACAUAUUUCCUAUGCCUUUGGACUGGGGCACAGAUGUAGACAACUCGAGCUUUGCUGAUUGUGAGAAAGGUAUGAGAAAUAGCCCUGAUGGAAUUUUCUUCUUGUACUUGCAGGGGAACAAAGCGGCAUCAUUCCAUUAUUCCAGGGGAGGUGCUAAAUACAAGGGUGAGGCUGUCAAGCGGUCCCUGGUGGAGUCCUACAUUCACCCAAACAGCAACGAGACAGAGCGGAGGGGAACAUCGAUACUGUCAUGAACUGGUUCACCUAGGAAGACUUUGACUUUGUGACUCUGUGCUACAGAGAGCCAGAUAACGUGGGACAUCGAUUUGGGCCAGAGGCAGAGAACAGGAAGUUGAUGAUUCAGCAAAUCGACAGGACCAUCGGGUAUCUGGUGGGAGCCACUGAGAAGCACAGCCUGCAGAGCACCUCAGCAUCAUCAUCACAUGAGACCAUGGGAUGACCACCGUGAAGAAGAGACCCAAUGUCAACAAGAUCCCUUGUCCAACUACAUCAAGUUCAGGAACUUGGUCAAGUUUGAUAUUGUGGGCUACGGUGGCUUUGGGAUGCCCCUACCCAAAUUGGGGCAAGAGGAAACCCUUUACCAGGCACUGAAGAAUGCAUACCCUCACCUCCACAUCUUCAAGAAGGAGGAGUUUCCAGAGCAUUUCCAUCUUGCUAAACAUGACCAGGUUCUGCCAAUCGUGAUGUAUGCCAACUCUGGUUACAGUAUCAAUGGGGUAAGUUCAUUCUAAAAUGAAUAAAGUCACCUUGGAUCUAGGAGACAACCAUUAGAGAAGGGUGGUUCUGCAAAAAUCAAACAUAAGUGCACAGCCGGGCAGGGUGGCUCAAGCCUAUAAUCGCAGCACUUCAGGAGGCUGAGGCAGGUGUAUCACCUGAGGUCAGGAGUUUGAGACCAGCCUGGCCAACAUGGUGAAACCCCAUCUCUACUAAAAAUACAAAAAUUAGCCGGGCAUGGUGGCGCACAUCUGUAGUUCCAGCUACUCUGGAGGCUGAGGCAGGAGAAUCGCUUGAACCUGGGAGGCAGAGGUUGCAGUGAGCCAAGAUCAUGCUACUGCACUCCAGCCUGGGCAAUAGAGUGAGACCCUGUCUCAAAAAAAUAUAAUAUAAUAUAACAUAAUAAAACAAAACAAAACAAAAUAAAAUAAAAUAAGUGCACACACUACGAGUUGUAGCCCACAGGGUCCUAAAUGUUCCCCACCCCCCGCCCAACCAAUGCUGCCCCAAAUUACCAUUAUACAAGAUUAAUGACCAAUUCAACUUGACAAGGCUGAUUUAAAAAUAAAAAUAAGGCUGGCCAUGGUGGUUCACACCUGUAAUCUCAGUGUUUUGGGAGGCCAAGACAGGAGGGUUGCUUAAGGCCAGGAGUUCAAGACCAGCCCGGGCAACAUAGGGAGACCCAUCUCUACAAAAAACAAACAAAUAAAUAAAUAGCCAGACAUGGCGAUGCAUGCCUGUAGUCCCAGCUACUCAGGAGGCUGAGGUGGCAGGAUUUCUUGAGCCCAGGAGGUCAAGGCUGCACUAAGCUGUGAUUGCACCACUGCACUCCAGCUUGAGCAAUAGAGCAAGACCCCGCCUCUAAAAAAUAAAUAAACAAAUAAUAAAAAAUAAACACCAACUUCAUUAUUCAAAACUGUGCAUAGCUCUUCACUAAACAUUGAAUAGCAGUUCUUUCAUUUUUGUCUUCCCAACAGCCCUAUAAAAUAGAUGAUCUUAGUUCCACCAUUUUAAAGAAGAAAUCAAAACCUAGAGAGAAGCGACUUGAGAUUAAAAAUUUAAGGUUGGGCUGGGUGCAGUGGCUCACACAUGUAAUCCCAGCACUUUAGAAGGCUAAGGUAGGUAGACUGCUUGAGCCCAGGAGUUUGAGACCAGUCUAGGCAACACAGUGAAACAUCACCUCUACAAAAAAUGCAAAAAAAGUAGCUGGGUGUAGUGGCACGUGCCUGUGGUCCCAGCAACUCAGGAGGCUGAGGUGGGAGAACUGCUUGAGCCCGGGGGUGUUGAGUCUGCAGUGAGCCAUGAUCACGCCACUGUGAGAUAGGAGGCAGGACUUGACUCCACAGGCAGGGCUUGGACACCAGACCAAAUUGAGGACUAGCUAAAACAGGGCUGGGGCAGAAGCAGCUUUCCAUCAGACAUGCCCACCAGUGUGCCAUGUGAGUUUACUAUUGCCAAGGCAACACCCAGGAGUUACUGCCCCUUUCCAUGGCAAUGACCCAAUGACUCAAAAGUUACUACCCAUUUUCUAGAAAUUCCUGCAUAAACUGCCCUUUAAUCUGCAUGCAAUUAAAAGUGGGUAUAAAUGUGAUUGCAAACUCUCUGCCGCUGUUCUCUGCCUCCAGGGUAGCCCUGCCCUACAGGAGCAGUCACAGGGCUGUAAUGCUGCCUCUUCAAUAAAGCUGUCUUCUUC